GAUGAACGCUGGCGGCGUGCCUAAUACAUGCAAGUCGAGCGAACAGACGAGGAGCUUGCUCCUCUGAUGUUAGCGGCGGACGGGUGAGUAACACGUGGAUAACCUACCUAUAAGACUGGGAUAACUUCGGGAAACCGGAGCUAAUACCGGAUAACAUGUUGAACCGCAUGGUUCAACAGUGAAAGACGGUCUUGCUGUCACUUAUAGAUGGAUCCGCGCCGCAUUAGCUAGUUGGUAAGGUAACGGCUUACCAAGGCAACGAUGCGUAGCCGACCUGAGAGGGGGAUCGGCCACACUGGAACUGAGACACGGUCCAGACUCCUACGGGAGGCAGCAGUAGGGAAUCUGCCGCAAUGGGCGAAAGCCUGACGGAGCAACGCCGCGUGAGUGAAGAAGGUCUUCGGAUCGUAAAACUCCGUUAUGAGGGAAGAACAAAUGUGUAAGUAACUAUGCACGUCUGGACGGUACCUAAGCAGAAAGCCACGGCUAACUACGU
rnacentral:rRNA from 1 species